GAGUAACACGUGGGUAACCUACCCAUCAGAGGGGGAUAACACUUGGAAACAGGUGCUAAUACCGCAUAACAGUUUAUGCCGCAUGGCAUAAGAGUGAAAGGCGCUUUCGGGUGUCGCUGAUGGAUGGACCCGCGGUGCAUUAGCUAGUUGGUGAGGUAACGGCUCACCAAGGCCACGAUGCAUAGCCGACCUGAGAGGGUGAUCGGCCACACUGGGACUGAGACACGGCCCAGACUCCUACGGGAGGCAGCAGUAGGGAAUCUUCGGCAAUGGACGAAAGUCUGACCGAGCAACGCCGCGUGAGUGAAGAAGGUUUUCGGAUCGUAAAACUCUGUUGUUAGAGAAGAACAAGGACGUUAGUAACUGAACGUCCCCUGACGGUAUCUAACCAGAAAGCCACGGCUAACUACGUGCCAGCAGCCGCGGUAAUACGUAGGUGGCAAGCGUUGUCCG
rnacentral:rRNA from 1 species